GCGGGGAGCCCCCUCCGAGGCAGAGGCCCCCGGCGAGCUCGGGCGUUCGGGCGGUAGGCGCCACUGCGGCCUGCCGGCGACGGCGCCUCGUCCCGGGGACGCUCGAACCGGUUGUCGUGCGCCCCCGGCGGCCGCCUGCAGAGCGUUCCCUUCCUUCGGCGACCUUCACAAGGGCUGCGAUUCAGCCGGCAAACGCGGAAGGGAGCUCCAGAGGCCGGCAGCACUGGCGGCGAUAUCCCCGGUGCCGCUGAGGCCUGGGCAGGCCUGCUCCUGCUGAAGAUUGGAUCUGCAGUGUUUUGGGAAGCGGCCUGGCGCCGCAAUGGGGGCGUUGGUAUGGUUGCUCGUUCGGGUCGACCAGCAUCUCCCCGCGCCCAUCCAUAUGUGUGAUUUUGGAGCGGGCAGAGAAAAGGUCUUGCACGCCGAAGCGCUGUUGGCUCGGCAGCCAGGCUCUUGGGUCACUGUCUGGGGCGUUCGUUUUCUUGCCGCGAUAACCCCGCUCCAGGCUGCGGUGUCUGGCCAGCCCGCGUGAGUCCUGCUCGGAGAGCUCGUUGGCGGGCGCGCCGGGGCCCCGUCUCCGGGCCUGAACGCGUCCUGCUCUUGCUUGAGUUGAACGGGCAGGCUUGCGUGGCAAGGCCGGGCCGUGUCUUUAGGAGCUGGAGAGCGGUCGGGACGUUUUCUCUGGUCUUGUGUACCGCCUGGGCUAUAGCUGGCGGCUGAGGCUGACCGUGCCCCGCGGGAUGUUCUGGGCCACAUUGUUCGGUUUUCCCGUUUUGGUUGUGAGUUGCCGUGUCUCCGGCGGCUACCGCGCUGGGUUCCCCGGCCGUCUCUGGAUUCCCUCCCACCUCCCCGGGAGUGAGGACGGAACGAACGCACGGAGCAAGGCGGCUCUCGCCGCCUGGGGCUCAAGUCCGCAGCAGAGUCGGGAGGCGGGGAAGCUGCUCCCCGACGCCCACUGUCGUUUCUCCGGGCUCUGCGAUCGUCCGAGGCCGGGCUGCGUCUUCACGGGGCCCGUCUGUGGUCCCUUCUGCUCCCUUUGCGGCCUUGGAUCGCACACUAAUGGCUUCCCUCACCGCGGGUGAUAGUAGGGAACGUGGCCCAAUGGCCGGCUCCAGUCCUGCCUGGGCUUUGAGGUCAGAAGCGCCGAACAGAUGUGACACAGAAAGCGUCCAGGGCCGUGCGUUGGAGGAUGCUGGGGGCGCGGUCUUUAGUUAGAAGAGCCUCUGAACAGGGGAGGAUGGGGCGGAGAGAAAUGCAGCCUCCGGCGGACUCGGAGGGAACGGGUGCGGAGUGGUCAUGCUGUGCCUUCCCCCUGCGAUUCGGAUUUGUCCUGGUGGCGUUUAUGCUGUUAAGUUGCAGCUGGGUCAUCGCCGUCGACCAGAUGGCCAGACAACUUUGGCGCUUUAUCAAAAAUUUGCUAUAAUACAGGUUUGGGAAGUGAGCAGGCAAUGGCAACCCACUCCAAUAUUCUUGCCUGGAAAUUCCCAGGGGCGGAGGAGCCUAGUAGGCUGCAGUACACGGGAUCGCACAGAGUCGGACAGGACUGACUUCACUUUCACUUUUCACUUUCAUGCAUUGAAGAAAAUAGCAACCCAUCCCACUGUUCUUGCCGGGAGAAUCCCAGGGAGGGGGGAGCCUGGUGGGCUGCCAUCUGCUGGGUCGCACAGAGUCGGACACGACUGAAGCGACGUAGGAGCAGCAGCAGGUUUUAGUAGAUGACAGUAAAAUCCAUAAUGAAAAUUACUAUUAUCGUUGUUACUGGACGUUACUGUAAUUAUUACAGUUGUCUGUAAUUAUAAAGUUUAUCUACAGAACAGCUGCUCAGUUGAAGAUGACCCACGAGGAGUUUCAGUAUGUCUAAAUAUGGGAGAAAACUACAACCCACGAGGCCUUUCCCCCUGCCCCCUGGCAACCAUUGUGGAAAUCCACAUCCCCAAACUGCCGCAUUAGGCGUCAAGGUCCCGUCUGGGUCAGUGACUUUCCUCCCAUGUGUUUUUCAUUUAGAAACAAAUCGGUGGGAACAUGUUCCUCUAAGCAAUCCCAGGGCCGCCUCUCUUCCCCGCAGCCUGCCUCCAGCUUCCCUACGUCGCAAGCUCUGAGCAGGACAUGCCUUCCUGGUUUGCUACCACUCCUCUGCGUACCCCUAGCCUCAGCCUAAUGCAAGUGGUGCUGGCUGACCCCUUGCAACGCAAAUAGUAGCGAGGAAAGGCACGUCCUGGUCUGUAUUUUAAGAUCUUUAUGAACAUGAUAAUGGAAGCGUAGUUGAGUGAGGAACAUGGGUAACAGGGUCAGCGAUUUCUUUACUAAAGCUGUUCAAGGAGGGGAGAGAGGCUCAAGAAGCAAGUGAUAGACAAAUAUAUACAUACAGUCAAUAAUUAUGGCUAAUUUGCAUUGUAUGGCAGAAACCAACACAAAAUGGUAAAACAAUUUUCCACCAAUUAAAAUUUUUAAAGGAACAAUACUAAAGCUAUUCCAAUGCCUUUUGUAUGCAAAGAGUAUCCACGUUACUCUGCAUUUUUUCCGUAGAAUUCUAAAACUGGCAUGACGAGGUUUCUUGACAUCUUCAAAACAUUGCUUUCUAGAAACAUCCAUUUAUGUAUGUGUACUGCUCACUAGCCUUCAUUUAAUUACCAUACUUUGAAAAAAAUUUAAUGUGGAAAGAAUUGUUUUAUUUUUUGCUUUGAGACCAAUAUUUUGUGUUUUUAUUCAUUACGGAAUCUCACCUCCGUGUCCUCCGAUGGACAGUCGAUAGACUCAAAGGGAUCAUUCAGCAGCUGUGGAACUUUUUCUCUGAGUAGCUCCCUCCUUUCUGAUGCCCUGCCACACAGAUCAUCGCCUCGGUGGCCUCCCAGCUCACCCGUGUUCUCAAUCCAGAUUCUGCCAGAAUGUUCAUGGGCUCCUCUGCCUGCAGUUGCACCGUGAAGACCGCCUGAAAGCAGAGAGCGGAGUCGUCAGGAAGGGGAACCCUCUGCAGGGCCCUAGAGUGGGCUCACACGUGCUGACAAAGCAAGAGACUUGGCUGGAGGGGCGCCCGGGAGGACAGCAGCAGGGUGAGGAAGCCCAGGGCCCCUUUCCACCACGUGACCUGCGGUCUCAGGUUUUAUGGUGAUGGGGUUGGUUUCCAGGCUGUCUCUGGCCAAGCAUUCUGACUCAGGGUUCGUUUCAUGCAUUUUGUUCAGCUUUCUAAUUACCAGUUACUACUGCUGAGGAAGUCCAGACACUCUUUGUAUUUAUUCGGAAGCAGAAAUCACAUUUUAGGAGAAAAUUAUACUUUUGAUCAAUAAUUUAAAAUCACCUAACCACCCGUGUGUGAAGGUGUCUUCUGUUUCAUAGUCUUUGUUUUGCUCAUGAACAUGUUAAAAUAAAAUGAAAUAUCAGGAGACACACUUAGAUGGCUUUCCUCACCCCCUAGAAGAACUUUAUGCCAAUAAAUUGGGGGUAAGGUCUUAGGAGUCUCUGAAUUUGAGUCCUUCAGAUACUAUCGAGUCACUAAGGCAGUUUUUGCUCCUGUUUUCAUAAGAUCUGUUGGUGUAGUAAGUCACACUAAAGUUUCCCACAGCUUAUACUGUGGAGAAUUUUUUUUUUUUCCUGAAUCCCAGUGUCCAUCUUCUUGCAUAUCAGUGUUCAUCCCCAUGUGGAUGGGCAAAAAGCAUUAUAAUACUACAUCAUCCACCCAGUGGCCUGCUGUGCAGGAAAGUAUGUCCUGAGGGAGGGCAGUUCCCACGGCAUUGUCAAAUAAAUAAAAGCAACAUGUAACAAAACACCGUGCUUAAUACACACUAUCUGUGUUUUUAAUUAGGGCAUGGAGGAGAAAUAUACUUUCAUGUUUGCUUACCAGGAACUCUAGAAGGACCCGUAAGAAACAAACUACUACCUGUGGAGGGCAGAUGGCCCUGGACACACAGGCUCAACGAUAGGAGGCACAAAUUAAGGGGAGCAGUGCAUCUACAGAGGGAACAGUGGCGGCGCCUGCAUUAGGAUCCGAGAGAGCCUGGGAGAAGCUUCUGUGGGCAGCUCAUGCCGCCGUUGCCCCUGAAACCCCAGCCGCUGUCCCUGCUGCGUCCUCCAGGAACCCUCGCCAGCGAGCCGAGCUGCUUUGCUGCCGCCGCUCCUCUGCUCGGCCGCUUCGCUCCUGGAGCCUCCGCUCCCCAGACCCAGGCAGCUUCCAGGAGCCAAGACUCCUGCUGGUUCCGAUCCCAGGGCUGACCGCCAGCCUCUCCCAGAGGCAUGCCUGUGAACUUCUUACCAUCGGUCUGUGUGACACGCGCUCUCCUCUGCGCUCUGGAGACCACCCAUUCCCGGCAACCAGGGAGCUCAGUCGGUGGCUCUGACUUGGCGGAUGACUUGAAGUUCUGCCCUGCGCGGCACCGUUUCCUGUGAACACUCCUGGGAGGUCGUGCCUGAUCUCCACGUCUGCAGAUUCUGAAGAGAUUAAAAGGGGAGAGCAGGGGGCAGCUGAGCCGCUCUGAGCAAGGAGGGCUUCACCGUGAAUGGGUCACUUCAGCACCUGGGUGCAAGGCUGCUGGGUCUGAG
ensembl:lncRNA